GGCAGCCUGUGUGCUUGGUGAUGGUCCAUGUUUAGUGUUUCUGUUCGUCUGCGUCUUGCAGUCUGACAGCAGCGCUCACACAAUGCCAGCAGCCAAAGAUAAACCUGAGAUCAUAGUACUGGUCUAGUGAAGUCUCUGUGACAAUUUUUAUCACUGGCCAGCCUCCAAACUCUCAGACAGUA